rnacentral:rRNA from 1 species
UACGUAGGUGGCAAGCGUUGUCCGGAUUUACUGGGCGUAAAGGAUGCGUAGGCGGACAUUUUAAGUCAGAUGUGAAAUACCCGAGCUUAACUUGGGUGCUGCAUUUGAAACUGGGUGUCUAGAGUGCAGGAGAGGUAAGUGGAAUUCCUAGUGUAGCGGUGAAAUGCGUAGAGAUUUAGGAAGAACACCAGUGGCAAGGCGGCUUACUGGUCCGGUUCUG